rnacentral:rRNA from 1 species
UAUCACUGUAUCACCCUGAACAUAUCCAACCUCAUCUGACCUUGGAAACUAAUAAGCAUUGGGCUUAGUUAGUACCUGGAUGGGAAAUCACCAGAGAAUACCAGAUAAGGCUAGAC